rnacentral:lncRNA from 1 species
CCUAUUCAAAGGUCCAUCCAAUUUGCUGAUAAAUUUCUCGAUCAGAUUCUUGACAAAACUCAACUUCAAUGAUUUUUAGAAUGUGUUAAUUACAUAGCAAUAUAGUUAAAGAAAUCAAGUUAAAGGCAAAAGAUCUCCCUUGCUUAUCCCUCCUCGAUCCCUCUGCAUUCAAAAUAGUUAAAACAAAUGCAUCAAAUAUAGGCGAUGGUGGCAUUUUAAAAAAAUAAAAAAUGACAAAGAACAUAUAGUUGCAUUUGCAUCCAAACAUUGGAAUAAAGGUCAGGAAAAUUAUCCUACUAUCAAUUUUUUUUUGCAAUUUUGUUAUGCAUUUCCAAAUUUCAAGCUAAUUUGUUAAAUAAUUUUUUUUUACCAAGAAUUGAUUGUAAAGAAACGAAAUCUAUUUUACAAAAAGAUGUACAAAACCUUGCCUCUAAAUAUAUAUUUGCUAAAUGGCAGGAAAUUUUAUCUGUUUUUGAUUUUGAUAUAGAAUAUAUCAAAGGGAGCUCCAACUCUAUACCAGAUUUUCUUACCAUGUAAUUCUUGCAAGGAAGAUAAGAUGCCUAGAAAAAUGAUAGUGCUUUACCUAUAAUGAUACUAUUUUACCAAUAAUCCAAAUUAAAGUUGUGUAUUGGCACUCCAACCCUAAGAAGUAUCCAAGCAAAUACUUAGCCCCGCAGUAAAUUUUAUCCAAAAAACUCCUGCCCAUACCCAGAAGUUUUAUGAAUUCAUACUAACAGAUACCAAAUCUUGUUUGUUUAAACCUCAAAAAGACAAAGAAACCCAGUCAUAUAUCACCCAUACCACGGUAUGGAUUAAUAAAAUCAUCUCACCAAAAGAGUAGGGUAUCGCCCUACAAAAUAUCUAAAUCUUACUGAAGCUUUUGAUCCCCAAUAUUAUAAUUAUUUUUAUUUUCAAAGAGCGUGGAUGAAUGCAUUCACCUUUCAAAAUAAAACUAACAAACAUUUUUGUUUUUUAUUCUAGAGAAAGAAACUACCUUUGGAAUUCCCCCAGUGGUUUCUACACCAAUGGUGGCCAAUUUUUGGCCCCACUUUUGAGAUUCUUCCUCCCCCAGUCCGAGAAACAUACGAAUAUUUUACCCAAAGAUAUCAUGAUGAUCACCAAAUUCCUUUGCUUUUACAUUUUUUCCACAGAUUCCAUAUUCCUUGAAUAUUUUCAUGGAAAUUCACCUUUCACAAACCAGAGGGGCAUAAAGGACUUCCAUGGUUAUACCUCUAGGUCUAUUGUAAAUUGUACAAGAAUUGGGAUCCAAUGAAAGCUUACAUAUCGGAAGUAGAAAAGUGUUUCCUAUGCAAUCCUGGAUGUUUGACCCCAACAGGAGAAUUUGAUUUGUUGGAGAAUUUUCUCCAUUUGUUGAAUGAAAUCUCCUUGGCUACCUGACUUAGCUAAUUUUACGGCUACAAUUGACUUUUGUUGUAGAAACGAGAUUUGGGCGGCGUCUGUUGGGGUCAAACAUAUAGGAUUGCAUAGGAAACACUUUUCUACUUCCGGUAUGUAAGAUUUCAUUCGAUCCCAAUUCUUGUACCAUUUGCAAUAGCCUGGAGGGCUAACCAUGUAAGUCCUCUGUGCUCCCUCUGGUUUGUGAAAGACAUAUUUCUAUGAAAAUAUCCAAGGAGUAUGGAACCUGUGGGAAAAUUGUAAGAGCAAAGGAAUAUGGUGAUCAUCAUGAAAUCUUUGGGUAAAAUAUUUCUAUCAUUCUCGGGCUGGGGGAGGAAGGAUCUCAAAAGUGGAAAAAAAUUGGCAACCAUUGGUGUAGAAACCACUAAGGGAAUUUCGAAG